AGCCCUCAUUAUACCAAGGGUAGAAAUCCCUAGGAAUCUGUUAGAAAUGCAUGGUCUCAGGCUCCUCCCCAGACUCGCUGAAUCUUGACAAACUCCCCAGAAGAGAAGCACUGUCCUGUAUGAACCUAGAGCCCCUGAGGGCUGGGCCACUGUCCUGUAUGAACCUGGAGUCCCUGAGGGCUGGGCUGUGGCAUCCCUGCCCCAGGGGAGACGGUGCUGCUGUCUCUUCAUUGCAGACAUGAGCCCUUAGACUUUGCAUGAUGAAAGCUCAUGACAAACGCUACCUACUCCCGACCCCCAGCUUCCUAUUCCACAUAAGAUCUCCUAAGCCCAAUAACCUGUGACCUCACAGAUGAAUGGAACGUGUCCUCUUUCGUCCUGUAGCUCCACGGUAACCUGAGAGAUGGCCUGGAGGCAGGGUGGCAUGUUGUUUUUAAAGUGAUACAAGAGACACAGUGGAGACCGUCCAAUGAGUGGCAUGGCUGCCAGGAUGCCAACUGGGACACUAAAGCCCUGGCAGUGGGGGCUGCCCAGCAGGGCUGGCCACUGGAAAUAAGAGAUGCAAAUUCAUCUUCUAUCAUAGCCAAAGAAGACCAACAAAGACCAACAGAGGCCAUGUCUCGCAUUCAGCUCCAACAGCAGGCAGUAGAUUUGUUACAGAGACUAAAACCCACCUUAUUGCCAAGUGACCCUCCUCUCACCAGCCUCCCCUGCUGCCACCCAAAUUCCUGCCACUGAACUACUCCUCAAAAUAAAACACAGCUGUAAAAUGCA